rnacentral:rRNA from 1 species
AACGAACGCUGGCGGCAUGCCUAACACAUGCAAGUCGAACGAGACCUUCGGGUCUAGUGGCGCUUGGGUGCGUAACGCGUGGGAACCUGCCCUUAGGUUCGGAAUAACUCCCCGAAAGGGGUGCUAAUACCGGAUAAUGUCUUCGGACCAAAGAUUGAUCGUCUUUGGAUGGGCCCGCGUUGGAUUAGCUUGUUGGUAGGGUAAAAGCCUACCAAGGCGAGGCUCCAUAGCUGGUCUGAGAGGAUGAUCAGCCACACUGAGACUGAGACACGGCCCAGACUCCUACGGGAGGCAACAGUGGGGAAUAUUGGACAAUGGGCGAAAGGCUGAUGCAGCAAUGCCGCGUGAGUGAUGAAGGCGUGAGGGUUGUAAAGCACUUUUACACGGGAUGAUAAUGACGGUACCGGAAGAAUAAGCACCGGCUAACUCCGUG